rnacentral:rRNA from 1 species
GAUGAACGCUAGCUACAGGCUUAACACAUGCAAGUCGAGGGGCAGCAUGAAGUUUGCUUGCAAACUUUGAUGGCGACCGGCGCACGGGUGAGUAACGCGUAUCCAACCUGCCCCAUACUCGGGUAUAGCCCAGCGAAAGCUGGAUUAAUCCCCGAUGUCACCUUUAUGGUGCAUGCCAUAUUGGUUAAAGUUAUUCGGUACGGGAUGGUGAUGCGUCUGAUUAGGUAGUAGGCGGGGGUAACGGGCCCACCCUAGCCGACGAUCAGUAGGGGUUCUGAGAGGAAGGUCCCCCACACUGGAACUGAGACACGGUCCAGACUCCUACGGGAGGCAGCAGUGAGGAAUAUUGGUCAAUGGAGGCAACUCUGAACCAGCCAAGUAGCGUGCAGGAUGACGGCCCUAU